rnacentral:lncRNA from 1 species
ACAAAGCAUUCUUGACAGGAAAGUGGCGAGAGCAGGCGCUUUCAAGAAAGAAAUGCAAGCAAGGCAGACGACGAUUAUUUCCUUUUGCGACUGAGGU